UACGGGGGGAGCAAGCGUUGUUCGGAUUUACUGGGCGUAAAGGGCGCGUAGGCGGCCACCGCAAGUCAAUUGUGAAAUCCCCGGGCUUAACCUGGGAACUGCAUUUGGGACUGCAAGGCUUGAGUACGGCAGAGGGGGGUAGAAUUCCUGGUGUAGCAGUGAAAUGCGUAGAUAUCAGGAGGAAUACCGAUGGCGAAGGCAGCCCCCUGGGUCGAUACUGACGCUCAUGCACGAAAGCGUGGGGAGCAAACAGG
rnacentral:rRNA from 1 species